rnacentral:tRNA from 1 species
GAGGGUAUAGCUCAAAUGGUAGAGCACAUGCUUAGCACGCAUGAAGCCCGAGGUUUGAUCCCCAGUACCUCCU